GCGCCCGUAGCUCAAUGGAUAGAGCGUCUGACUUCGGAUCAGAAGGUUGCGGGUUCGAGUCCUGCCGGGCGCGCCA
rnacentral:tRNA from 1 species